UGGGGAAUAUUGCACAAUGGGGGAAACCCUGAUGCAGCGACGCCGCGUGAACGAAGAAGGUAUUCGUAUCGUAAAGUUCUGUCCUAUGGGAAGAUAAUGACAGUACCAUAGAAGAAAGCUCCGGCUAAAUACGUGCCAGCAGCCGCGGUAAUACGUAUGGAGCGAGCGUUGACCGGAAUUAUUGGGCGUAAAGGGUACGCAGGCGGUUUAAUAAGUCGAAUGUUAAAGAUCGGGGCUCAACCCCGCAAAGCAUUGGAAACUGAUAAACUUGAGUAGUGGAGAGGAAAGUGGAAUUCCUAGUGUAGUGGUGAAAUACGUAGAUAUUAGGAGGAAUACCAGUAGCGAAGGCGACUUUCUGGACACAAACUGACGCUGAGGUACGAAAGCGUGGGGAGCAAACAGG
rnacentral:rRNA from 1 species